rnacentral:rRNA from 1 species
AUUGAACGCUGGCGGCAUGCCUUACACAUGCAAGUCGAACGGUAACAGGUCUUCGGAUGCUGACGAGUGGCGAACGGGUGAGUAAUACAUCGGAACGUGCCUAGUAGUGGGGGAUAACUACUCGAAAGAGUGGCUAAUACCGCAUGAGAUCUACGGAUGAAAGCAGGGGAUCGCAAGACCUUGUGCUACUAGAGCGGCCGGUGGCAGAUUAGGUAGUUGGUGGGAUAAAAGCUUACCAAGCCGACGAUCUGUAGCUGGUCUGAGAGGACGAUCAGACACACUGGGACUGAGACACGGCCCAGACUCCUACGGGAGGCAGCAGUUGGGAAUUUUGGACAAUGGGCGAAAGCCUGAUCCAGCAAUGCCGCGUGCAGGAUGAAGGCCUUCGGGUUGUAAACUGCUUUUGUACGGAACGAAAAGCCCCGGGUUAAUACCCUGGGGUCAUGACGGUACCGUAAGAAUAAGCACCGGCUAACUACGUGCCAGCAGCCGCCGUAA